GUGAGAUAAACAAACUGCUUUUCUUUAUGAAUUACCUAACCUCGGGUAUUCCUUUAUAGCAAUGCAAAAUAGACUAAGACACUAACUGACUUUUAAAAUCUUUUAUAUAUGGGGCACAAGGGAUGGUUGACUUUUGUGUGUAGAUGGUCUGCUGAGAAGCUGAGAUCCUAGAGAAUUUGGCAGGAAAGAAAUAUGGGUUGUACUUUAUUUGUGGCUGGCAAAAUUUUAUUUAGCUGCCUUUGAGAUGCCUCUGGAUCUUGUGAGGACUGCUUUGCACCUCUUUGGAGAUGUCUCACGCAUUCUUAUUUAAGUCAUAACCUUAGUUAAGGGGUUUUGGUUUUGGUGAGUUAUUUGAAAGAUAACUUCGGGGGGGAAGUUUGAAAGCCAAAAAUAUUGGCUGUUUGUCCCAGCUAAAAUUUCAUCAUGAGAGAUUUAAAAUUUUUUUUUUUUUUUUAAAAAAAGCUCUAUGGUCAGAAGUCAGCUUAAUUAAAAGCUGAUAUUCAGACUAUAAUACUUUUUUAAAAAAUAAAAGUUCCUUCUACUUUUUCUCUUUUGGAUUCUGCUAGUGGGAUUUACUUUUCAGUCAACUGAAACCCCCUUUUAAUUAUGUGAUUGGUUAUUCUGUUUCCUUUUUAUCUUUUUCACAUGAUUUUUGCUAAGAAAAAUGUAAAUCUUCAUUGGCCCUUCUGGAAAGCUUAAAAUAUCCAAAUUGGUACAUCUAAGACUUGUUAUUUCAUUUUCUUUCACUUCUACUCCUCCUUCUUUUUUGCCAUCUUCAAUUCCACAUAAAGAAAUCUAGACAGGACUUCUAGCAGCUCUAAGACCCCUUAAGGAACACAGAAAAAGUGCCACACACCCCCUUUUCGGGGUCAUAUAUUUUUCUCAUGGAUCCCCAAGAGUUGUGGACAGGUUCCUCUCAGUUCUAAGGCUCUGCUGUUUUGCAUUAAAUUCCGUGAUCUCUCUAACUUCUGGGGGUACCAGGAAUUACUUCGUACUGUGAGAGAAAACUUAAUCUUUGUGUGUGUGAUAGCUAGUGGGUCACCAGCAAAGGCUGCAAUUCUGGGGGGUGGCUGAGAGCAGUUACAAUGGAUGGUUAUUACUGUAUGGGGCUAUUCAUUUGUUUGUGCAUUUAGAUCAGAAAAGUGAGGUUUGGAAACUUGGAGGCUAUGGCUACAUCACAUCAUCAAGGGAUAAGACUCCCAUGGGGGAUGAACUGAUCACAGAGUGGGCUGAUUGACAUUGGGUUACCUUUGCCGUGAGGUGCCGUGAGGUACCCUGUGGAAGUGUUGCACAGCUUGGUCCUGUGGCAUUUCCUUUUUUUUUUUAAGGUCCCAGGAUUCACUGUAAAAAAUGAGGUUCUUGAUUUCUGAGGAUCUAGACGAUUUGCCUUCCUACUGCUUCUGCUUUUCACUAUAUAAGUGAAAAGACCUCAAAAGCUGCAAAUGUUUUGUUUGCGCUAUUCAUUAAUGGGCUCUACCCUGAGGUCAGUGGUCCAGUUUUAAAAUGGAGACUAAAUUAAAAGCCACCUAUCUAACUAAAAUUGGUCUCCUUAUAAAAUCCUCUGGUGAUUCUCAAUGAUUUUGUGUUACCUUAGUAUUCAUUUUAAUUUUCCUCUAACAUACCCAAAUUCUUUCUUCAAAAAGCUUAAAUUCUCUCUUUGUGCAUUGAGAUGUAAAUUUGCAACCCUGGUUUCUCUAAAACUCAAUAAGCACUUCAACCAUGCGGGACAAAUAAACUUUAUUUAAAAAUAUUUUUUAUUUUUUAUUCUUUUAGAGACAGGGUCUCACUCUGUCACCCAGGCUGGAGUGCAAUGUUAUGAUCCUAGCUCAGGGUCACCUCAAAUUCCUGGGCUGAAACUAUCCUCCCACCUCAGCUUCCCAAGUAGCUGGGACUCCAGGCACACACCGCCAUGCCUAACUAAUUUCUUUAUUUUUUAUGUUUUAGUAUAGACGGGGUCUUGCCUUGUUGCCCAGGCUAGUAUUGAACUCCUGGCUUCAAGUGAACCCCCUCCUGCGUGAGGCAUUGCACCCAGCCCAGACAAUCUUUAACUUGUUUCAUUUACAGAGGCACAAAUUAAUCUAACUGUCCUUUUAAACUAGUGAGUUUUAUCUGUCUCAUGACUAAAAUUUUAAAAUAAAAGCAAAUAUAGUUUACAUAUUUUCCCUACCCAAAUCUUAUGUUGAAUUGUAAUCCCGAAUGUUGGAAUUGGGGCCUGCUGGGUGGUGUUCGGGUCAUGGGGGUAGAUCUCUCAUGGCUUGAUGCUGUCCUCAGGAUAGUGACUGAGUUUUCCUGUAAUCUAGUUGGUUAAAGUGUGUGGCACCUCCCCCACUCUCUCUCUUGCUCCUGCUUUGCCAUGUGAAAUGCCUGCUCCCAUUUUGCUCUCUGCCAUGAGUAAAAGCUUCCUGAGGCCUCACGAGAGGCUGAGCAGAUGCCAGCACUAUGCUUCCUGUACAGCCUGCAGAAUCAUGAGCCAAUGAAAUCUCUUUUCUUUAUAAAUUACCCAGUCUCAAGUAUUUCGUUAUAAAACAGCCUAGCAAAAAAGCUAUAAAAUCUUUAUUUGUGUUUGUAUAUUAUGUAUAAAUGUGUAUAUGUCUGUGUUUGUAUAUUGUCUACAUGGUACUGAGUUGACUUAUAAAUAAAUGAGUACUCAUAAAUUAAAUAAUCUCAAAAUUUUUAAAUUCAUAUGACUUUAGUAACCUUUGAUAUAAAAAGCAGAUUUUUAAAUUGUUGGUAAAAUAAAAUAGAAAUGUCUUCAGAGUUUUAGACUUCUUUAUCUUAAUCUACUGGUCAAACAAAUGUAUGUUGUUUCUGCUAAAUGUUUUAAGGUCAAAAAACUUGUUUCUGUGAUAUUUUUGAUAAUUGCUUGAUUUGUCUUUAAGCAUAUGUCUUUGGUUUUGAGCCUUUAGAUUCCAGAGUCUAGACAGGUGGUCAUGGUGAGGCUUCCACAGCACCUAGACCACCAGCUGCAGGGUAGAGUCAAGCCCGAUACAUCCUCCCUGGCCCAGCUCUGCCUCCUGGCCAUGCUGGAAGGGGAUAGAUCCUCCAUUAACUGUCUUCGCAGCUCUGUCAUUUGUCCUGGGCUUUGCAUUUGAUACAUAACAAUUAAAAUUGCUUUACUUCCUAGCUUUCUCACUCGAAAUUGGGGUUACUAGAGUUAAAAUUGUAGAUAAUAUAUGUAAUUAAAACUACUAGAUAUAAGAGAAAUAAUUCUAUAUAAAGAGUGUACAAAGAAUGUAGGAUGUGUUUUGGGUGAGGAAGGUUAUAAGAAAAACAUGAAGCCAUAUGCUGUGGCUCAUGCCUGUAAUCCCAGCACUUUGGGAGGCUGAGGCAGGAGGACUGCUUGAGCCCAGGAGUUCACGACUAGCCUGGGCAACAUAGGGAGACCCCAUUUCUACACACACACAACUUGAGAAUGUGGUUUUUGUUAAAGGAAAAGUAUUUUUUUUCUAGUUUAGAGGUUAUUUGAAGGCUCCUUUAAGUUGAAAGGAUAAAAAAGAAUGACAGGAAAAACUGAAUGGAUAUAAAAAAUUGGGGAAAGAAAGAGAAUUGAAAAAAUUGUGAGAGAUUAUAAAAUGUUCAUGCAAAUCUUUUCUGUAGUCAAAGCUGAUUGAGAUUAGAUGGAUUUGUUUAUAUUUUAUUAAAUUAACUUUAGUGUUAAUAAUACACUGAUGAAAAGUACAAUUUGGUUUUCUCUUUUGAACAAGAUUUUCAUGUAGUACUAAUAAGAAAUGGUAAAAUAUUUGUUCACCUUUUCAGUAAAAAAGGAAGAAGACUUUGCCUCAUGCUGUCUUUAUUAGGUCUUUUGAUUGUUUGGAAAACUUGAUCUCCUCUCUAUCAAAUAGUAAAGGGUUUUUUUUCACUUUUUGAAAUCUUUUAAUUAUCAUUUUGACUAAAUGAAUGACUAAUAUUUUAUAGUGACUUGUGAUCUUAUUUUGAUAUCAAGUGUUUUAAACCUUUAAUAUUUGACAAACAUCCCAAAAUCAAAUUUCAAAUUCUAAAUUAAGUGUUUUUUAAGCUUGAACUAAAUAUUUGGACAUUCCAAAAAGAGCCCCUGGAAGUCCAAGAGAGACAUAUUAGGCUUAUUUGGUAUGUUAAAAUUAUAUGGGAAGCAUUGUCAAAUAAAAAGUGAUGUCUAACUUUCUUUGAGUUAUAUUCAUAUGGAUAUGUUAUUAAUGUAUUCCAAAAUUGUAUGAGAUUCCUAAAAUAUUAUAUAUCUUGGUAUAUUCAGUAAAUUGCUUAAUUCUGAUGCUCUUUUUCUAAAAGCUCUCUGUUCAUUCUAAAGUGAUGUGUCUUCAAGGAAGUUCAUGGGAAAGACUGAUAGGACACAAUUGAAAACACUGGUUAUAUUACAAAAGCUUUGACUGGUAAUUUUGUGUCAUAUUUUCAAAUGUGACCAGGCUGCUUUGAGGAAUUGCAGUUUACUUUAAAGCCAACAGACUUGGAAAAAGACUGGCCGGGUACCAUAUCUACACUGUUCCCUUACAGGGUUCCUGACCUUGUGCUAAUCACCAUAGACUAAUGCAGACCUCCUUAUGAAACAGGCGUUUCUACCUCCAAGGGAAAAAGAUAACAAAUCUUUGGCUGACCAACUGAUGUUUAUCAGCAAUGCUUCCUCACAUCAAAUCUUUAUCAAAAUGAAGAAAUGUGAAAUGUGAUAUACAAAACAGUAUCACUUGGUUCAGAGCUCUAAAAUGGAGUCAAGAAGCCACUCUAUUACUACCUACACAACAUGAAACCCUGCAGGAAAAAAAAAAAGGAACAGGAACUUGCCUUGAACCUUUGAACUGGGCUAAACUACAAUGACCACAUCUUAGAAAGCAGCUGAAUUUCACCAGCACUGCAACUCCUGCAUAGCAACAACCAAUGUACCAUGGACUUAUGUACUAAGCCAGCCACCUCCACCAAUGAUAAUUCUUUCAAAACAACUUGUGCAAUCACUCUCGGCAUCCUUUGAAAAAUUCCUACUCUCCUUCCUGUCUUUGGAAAACAAUUUGGCUCUUAGCCAAAUCCGUGUCUCCCAAAUUGCAACUUUUAAGGCCUCAAAUGCCUAGUCUUACUGCAUUGCACUCUGGUGUUUUGCCCCUUCUUACUUGACAUAUUAUACUUACAUCUCCAUUUCUAGUUGUGUUGAUUUUUUUAUUUUUUUAUUUUUAUUUUUAUUUUUGGAUAGUGUCUCACUCUGUCACCCAGGCUGGAGUACAGUGAUGCUGUCAGGGCUCACUGCAGUCUUGACCACCUGGGUUCAAGUGAUCCUCCCGCCUCAGCCUCCCAUGUAGCUGGGACUACAGGCAUGCACCACCAUGCCUGGCUAGUUUUCUUACUUUUGGUAGACACAUGGUUUCACCAUGUUGCCCAGGCUGGUCACAAACUUCUGGGUUCAAGUGAUCCACCUGCCUUGGCCUCCCGAAGUGCUUGUAUUACAGGUGUAAGCCACUGUGCCUGGCCUUGUAUCAACUUUUUGAUAGUAUCUCUUGACAGAAUGUAAAUGUGAGUAAUACAGACUCAGCAUGGUAGAGAAAUGAUAUAUGAAGGAGUGGUAUUACAGAGACAGGAUAGAUUAUUCGAUAAAUUCGGCUCUGGGACAAUUGGAUAUCAAACCAUAUGCCCUAUUCAAAAAUCAGUUGUUGGUGGAUCAAAAUUUUAUUUUAAAACUUUAUUUUUUAAAUAAAUUUUUGUUUUAUUUUAUCAUAUAUAUGUGUGUGUGUGUAUAUAUAUAAGCAUCUGCAUGGAAUUUUUCCCAUCUUUUUAAGUGUUUGAGGGUACACAGUAGAUAUAUAUAUAUUUAUGGGGUACAUAAAAUAUUUUCUACAGGCAUGCGAUGCAAAAUAGUCACAUCAGAGUGAAUGGGGUAGCCAUCCCCCCAGGCACUUAUUCUUUGUAUUAUAAACAAUCCAAUUGUACUCUUUUAGUUAUUUUGAAAUAUAGAACUUAAUUAUUUUUGACUACAGUCACCCUGUAGUGGUAGCAAAAUACUAAGUCUUAUUCAUUCUUUCAAACUAUUUUUGUACCUUUUAACCAUGCCCAACUCCCGCCUGCCCAGGACCCCACUACCCUUUGCAGCCUCUGGUAGCCAUCCUUCUACUCUCUAUGUCCAUAAGUUCACCUGUUUUGAUUUUUAGUUCCCACAAAUAAGUGAGAACAUGCAAAAUUUUUCUUUCUCUGCCUGCCUUAUUUCACUUAACAUCAUGACCUCAAGUUCCAUCCAUGUUGUUGCCAAUUACAGGAUCUCAUUCCUUUUUUAUGGCUGCACAGUACUCCAUUGCUUAUAUGUGCCAUAUUUUCUUUAUCCAUUUAUCUGUUGAUGGAGACUUAGGUUGCUUCCAAAGCUUGACUGUUAUGAAUAGUGCUGCAAUAAACAUGGAGUGCAGAUAUAACCUUGAUACACUGAUUUCCAUUCUUUUGUGUAUAUACCCAGGGGUGGGUGUAUAUACCCAGAGUGAAAUUCCGUCUCGGAAAAAAAAAAAAAAAAAAAAAAAAAGAGUUCUUUUGUGACCUAAAUAUGGUCUAUCCUUGAGAAAAUCUAUGUGCUGAGGAAAGAUGGUGUAUUUUACAGAUGUU
rnacentral:lncRNA from 1 species